UACGUAGGGUGCAAGCGUUGUCCGGAAUUAUUGGGCGUAAAGAGCUCGUAGGCGGUUUGUCGCGUCUGCUGUGAAAUCCCGAGGCUCAACCUCGGGCCUGCAGUGGGUACGGGCAGACUAGAGUCCGGUAGGGGAGCGUGGAAUUCCUGGUGUAGCGGUGAAAUGCGCAGAUAUCAGGAGGAACACCAGCGGCGAAGGCGGCGCUCUGGGCCGGAACUGACGCUGAGGAGCGAAAGCGUGGGUAGCAAACAGG
rnacentral:rRNA from 1 species